UACGAAGGGUGCAACCGUUGCUCGGAAUUAUUGGGCGUAAAGCGCACGUAGGCGGCUUAGCAAGUCGGAAGUGAAAUCCCACGGCUCAACCAUGGAAGUGCUUUCGAAACUGCUGAGCUUGAGUACGAAAGAGGAUCGCGGAAUUCCUGGUGUAGCGGUGAAAUGCGCAGAUAUCAGGAGGAACACCGGUGGCGAAGGCGGGUCUCUGGGCCGAUACUGACGCUGAGGAGCGAAAGCGUGGGGAGCGAACAGG
rnacentral:rRNA from 1 species